AUUGAACGCUGGCGGCAGGCUUAACACAUGCAAGUCGAACGAGUGGCGGACGGGUGAGUAAUGCUUGGGAAUCUAGCUUAUGGAGGGGGAUAACUACGGGAAACUGUAGCUAAUACCGCGUACCAUAGGAUGAGCCCAAGUGGGAUUAGGUAGUUGGUGAGGUAAAGGCUCACCAAGCCGACGAUCUCUAGCUGGUCUGAGAGGAUGACCAGCAAAACUGGAACUUAGACACGGCCCAGACUCCUACGGGAGGCAGCAGUGGGGAAUAUUGCGCAAUGGGGGCAAGCCUGACGCAGCCAUGCCGCGUGUAUGAAGAAGGCCUUCGGGUUGUAAAGUACUUUCAGUCGGGAGGCGUUACCGACAGAAGAAGCACCGGCUAACUCCGUGCCAGCAGCCGCGGUAAUUC
rnacentral:rRNA from 1 species